rnacentral:rRNA from 1 species
CGUCCAGACUCCUACGGGAGGCAGCAGUGGGGAAUAUUGCGCAAUGGGCGAAAGCCUGACGCAGCGACGCCGCGUGAGGGAUGAAGGUCUUCGGAUCGUAAACCUCUGUCAGCAGGGAAGAACGGUCACUGUGCUAAUCAGCAGUGAAUUGACGGUACCUGCAAAGGAAGCAUCGGCUAACUCCGUGCCAGCAGCCGCGGUAAUACGGAGGAUGCGAGCGUUAUCCGGAUUUAUUGGGUUUAAAGGGUGCGUAGGCGGUCCGUUAAGUCAGCGGUAAAAUUGCGGGGCUCAGCCCCGUCGAGCCGUUGAAACUGGCAGACUUGAGUUGGCGAGAAGUACGCGGAAUGCGCGGUGUAGCGGUGAAAUGCAUAGAUAUCGCGCAGAACUCCGAUUGCGAAGGCAGCGUACCGGCGCCAGACUGACGCUGAGGCACGAAAGCGUGGGGAUCGAACAGGAUUAGAUACCCGGGUAGC